UACGUAGGGUGCAAGCGUUGUCCGGAAUUAUUGGGCGUAAAGAGCUCGUAGGCGGUCUGUCGCGUCGGCUGUGAAAACCCGAGGCUCAACCUCGGGCCUGCAGUCGAUACGGGCAGACUAGAGUGUGGUAGGGGAGACUGGAAUUCCUGGUGUAGCGGUGAAAUGCGCAGAUAUCAGGAGGAACACCGGCGGCGAAGGCGGGUCUCUGGGCCAUAACUGACGCUGAGGAGCGAAAGCGUGGGGAGCGAACGGG
rnacentral:rRNA from 1 species